AGUCUGACCUGCUCACUGAUAUAAUUAAAUAGCUGCGGUAUACUGACCGUACAAAGGUAGCAUAAUCAUUAGUUCUUUAAUUGGGAACUUGUAUGAAUGGUUUGACGAGAAAAAUUCUGUCUUUAUUAUAAACAUUGAAUUUAACUUUUAAGUGAAAAGGCUUAAAUAAAUUAGGGGGACGAUAAGACCCUGUAAAACUUUAUAUAAAGUUGGGAUUUUACUUAAUUAUUAUAAAAUAGUAAAAUUUAAGGUUUAUAUUUUGUUGGGGCGACAGGAGUAUAAAUAUAUAUAACUACUUAUAAAGUUAUCAUUUAUAGAUGAAAAUAAACGAUCCUUAAUAAAGAUUAAAAGAUUAAGUUACUUCAGGGAUAACAGCGUUAUUUCUUUAGAGAGUCCAUAUCGAAAUAGAAGUUUACGACCUCGAUGUUGAAUUAAAAUAUCUUUUUAGCGCAGCCGUUAAAAAAGAAGGUCUGUUCGACCUUUAAAUUUUUACGUGAUCUGAGUUCAGACCGGGA
rnacentral:rRNA from 1 species